rnacentral:rRNA from 1 species
GACGAACGCUGGCGGCGUGCUUAACACAUGCAAGUCGAACGGGAUGGCCCGGCUUUUGGGUUGUGGUGGGAGGGGCAAAGGGGGGGGAACAAGGUAAUUACCCUGCCUCCUUCUUUGGGAUAACUGCAGGAACGUGGGGCUAAAACGGGUAAGUCCAGGUGGGGCGUGGGAUGGGUUGGGAAGAUGCGGCGGUUGGGGAUGGCCUGGCGGCGUGGCAGAUUAGUGGGGGGGUGGUGGGUUGCCAUGGCUUGGACGGGUAGCCGGCCUGAGAGGGUGAGCGGCCAAAUUGGGACUGAGAUACGGCCGAGACUCCUGCGGGAGGCAGCAGUGAGGAAUAUUGCACCAUGGGCAGAAGCCUGAUGCAGCAACGCCGCGUGCGGGAUGUGGGACUUCGGGUUGUAGACCGCUUUCGCCUGUGACGAAGCGUGAGUGACGGUAAUGGGUAAAGAAGUACCGGCUAACUACGUG